UACGUAGGGUCCGAGCGUUGUCCGGAUUUAUUGGGCGUAAAGAGCUCGUAGGCGGCUCAGUAAGUCGGAUGUGAAAACUCGGGGCUCAACCCCGAGACGCCAUCCGAUACUGCUGUGGCUUGAAUCUGGUAGGGGAGCACGGAAUUCCUGGUGUAGCGGUGAAAUGCGCAGAUAUCAGGAGGAACACCGGCGGCGAAGGCGGCAUCCUGGACCAAUACUGACGCUGAGGAGCGAAAGCCAGGGGAGCAAACGGG
rnacentral:rRNA from 1 species